UGUUUAUCAAAAACAUGUNCUUCUUGAUAAUAAUUUGAAGUCUGACCUGCCCACUGAAUAUUUUAUUUAAAGGGCCGCGGUAUUUUGACCGUGCAAAGGUAGCAUAAUCAUUAGUCUUUUAAUUGAAGGCUAGAAUGAAUGGUUGGACGAGGUAUUGACUGUCUCAAUGUAAAUGAGAGUAGAAUUUAACUUUUAAGUCAAAAGGCUUAAAUAUAUUUAAAGGACGAGAAGACCCUAUAGAGCUUUAUAUUGAUAUAUUUAUUAUUUAUUUAGAAGUUUUUUUAUAGUAUUUAUUAAAGUAUUUUGUUGGGGUGACAGGAAGAUAUACAAAACUCUUUUUAGUUUAAUUACAUUGAUUUAUGAAUUGUUGAUCCAUUUUUAGUGAUUAUAAGACUAAGUUACCUUAGGGAUAACAGCGUAAUCUUUUUCGAGAGUUCUUAUCGACAAAAAGGGUUGCGACCUCGAUGUUGGAUUAAGGGUAAUUUUGGGUGUAGAUGUUCAAAGUUUAGGUCUGUUCGACCUUUAA
rnacentral:rRNA from 1 species